AAAGUUGAUCAGGAGGAAAUCGUCUCCCACAUCCUUGCCGGACUUGAUGAGAAGUUUGACCGAGUGGUCUCGGCCAUGUGCUCCAGGGUCGAGCCGGUCACGGUUCUGAAGCUGUACUCACAAUUGCUGAGCUUUGAGA
rfam:Hordeum vulgare subsp. vulgare, WGS project CAJW01000000 data, contig: morex_contig_88244